rnacentral:siRNA from 1 species
ACGGCCGGGUAUAAACGCCGUUG